rnacentral:rRNA from 1 species
GACGAACGCUGGCGGCGUGCCUAAUACAUGCAAGUCGAGCGGAACUGGGGGAGCUUGCUCCUUCCAGUUUAGCGGCGGACGGGUGAGUAACACGUGGGCAACCUGCCCUGCAGAUCGGGAUAACUCCGGGAAACCGGUGCUAAUACCGAAUAGUUUGGCGCCUCUCCUGAGGCGCUACGGAAAGACGGUUUCGGCUGUCACUGCAGGAUGGGCCCGCGGCGCAUUAGCUAGUUGGUGGGGUAACGGCCCACCAAGGCGACGAUGCGUAGCCGGCCUGAGAGGGGGGCCGGCCACACUGGGCCUGAGACACGGCCCAGACUCCUACGGGAGGCAGCAGUAGGGAAUCUUCCGAAAUGGACGCAAGUCUGACGGAGCAACGCCGCGUGAGUGACGAAGGUUUUCGGAUCGUAAAACUCUGUUGUGAGGGAAGAACACGUACCAACUAACUAUUGGUACCUUGACGGUACCUCACCAGAAAGCCACGGCUAACUACGUGCCAGCCGCCGCCGUAA